rnacentral:rRNA from 1 species
GAUGAACGCUGGCGGCGUGCCUAAUACAUGCAAGUCGAGCGAACAGACGAGGAUCUUGCUCCUCUGACGUUAGCGGCGGACGGGUGAGUAACACGUGGAUAACCUACCUAUAAGACUGGGAUAACUUCGGGAAACCGGAGCUAAUACCGGAUAAUAUAUUUAAUCGCAUGGUUCAAUAGUGAAAGACGGUUUUGCUGUCACUUAUAGAUGGAUCCGCGCCGCAUUAGCUAGUUGGUAAGGUGACGGCUUACCAAGGCAACGAUGCGUAGCCGACCUGAGAGGGGGAGCGGCCACACUGGAACUGAAACGCGGUCCAGACUCCUACGGGAGGCAGCAGUAGAGAAUCUUCCGCAAUGGGCGAAAGCCUGACGGAGCAACGCCGCGUGAGUGAUGAAGGUCUUCGGAUCGUAAAACUCUGUUAUUAGGGAAGAACAAAUGUGUAAGUAACUAUGCACGUCUUGACGGUACCUAAUCAGAAAGCCACGGCUAACUACGUG